rfam:Dorea sp. CAG:317, WGS project CBGJ01000000 data, contig: 53
AGCAGAGUAGAAAUGUGUGCGUUAAGUGCCGGCUGGACGGGGAGUUGCCAGCCAGAUGAAGGAGAAGUGUCCGCGGUACAUAUUUCGCAUCCCGCUGCU